UAUGUCGAUAAAAUAAGUUAUAGGUUAAUAAAGUGUAUGAGCUGUACCUUUUGUAUCAGGGGACUUUAAAAACAAAAAUAGGAUUUGGUCGAGUCAACUAAAUCUUUAUGGUGACAUUGUGGUGGUAUUUGCUGUUUGGAUAGCAUAAGAGGUGAAAAGUGUACGGUAGUUGUGGUAUCUGAUUGUUUUGAGUAUUAAGGGGACAAACUCUUAUAACUCUAGAUUUAGUAAAAUUAAAAAAAGCUAGGCUUUAGGUUAGCUAUGCGUCUAGAUUGUUUUAAAUAAUUUUAUUUACCGUAAGAAAAAUAGAAUUAACUGACAAUAAUGAUAGAUGGUAAAAUUUAAAUAUAAUGAAGUUAUUGAAUAAUUAAAGGGGCGUAGAAGUAACUCAAAAUUAUCUAGAUAGUUUAACAAAAACAAUUUUGUUUGAGGUUUGAAGAAUAAGACCUGCCCAGUGCUUUGUAAAUGGCUGCAGUAUUUUGACUGUGCUAAGGUAGCAUAAUCAUUUGUUUUUUAAUUGAAAACUGGAAUGAAUGGUAAAACUAGUAUAUUUAGUCUGUUUGUCUAAAAAGAAAGUUAAGUAAAAGUAAGAAUUCUUUUUUAUUACUAGGGGACGAUAAGACCCUAAAAGCUUAAUGAAUAGGUUGUUAGUGGUGGUAUAAAGAAGUUUGUUUUACUGGGGCGGUAGGUAUAUUUAAACUAUAAUGUUUAUUGAAUGAUCCUGCGUAUGUGGAUAAAAUGGAGAAGUUACUCUAGGGAUAACAGUACAAUUAUUUUGGAGAGAUCUUAUCGAUAAAGAAGCUUGUAACCUCGAUGUUGAAUUAGUAAGUCUACGUGGAGCAGUAAAUACGUAAGAAGGUUUGUUCAACCUUUAAAUUAUUACAUGAUUUGAGUUCAAACCGGUUUAAGCCAGGUUGGAUUUUAUCUCUAGCUAAAAAAUUUAUUUUCUAGUACGAAAGGGGCGGAGGUAGUUUGUUAGC
rnacentral:rRNA from 1 species